GUCCCUCUAGCUCAGUCCGGGCGAAAUGAAGAAUCACCUGAUCAGUGAUUUGAUAUAGUAGCAACAGAGCACUUAUGUAGCUUAAGACAAUGCAUAGGAGGUCGGUGGUUCAAAUCCAUCGGGGGACACCA
rnacentral:tRNA from 1 species